CGGACGGGUGAGUAACGCGUAGGUAUCUGUCCAUGGGUGGGGGAUAACGGCGGGAAACUGCUGCUAAUACCGCAUGACACCUGAGGGUCAAAGGCGCAAGUCGCCUGUGGAGGAGCCUGCGUCCGAUUAGCUAGUUGGUGGGGUAACGGCCUACCAAGGCGACGAUCGGUAGCUGGUCUGAGAGGAUGAUCAGCCACACUGGGACUGAGACACGGCCCAG
rnacentral:rRNA from 1 species